CCUAGCUAUACUUUAAAAUUAAUUCCUCUUGUUUUAAUUUAUAAAGUAUUCUGGGCCACACGCCAAUUUAUUAAUAUAUCAUUUAGAUUUAUUUUAAGUUAUAAAAUACAACUGCAACAUUAAGUAACUUUCGUGAAAUAUGAAGUGGUGGUGAAGGGUCUCUUGACUUUUUGAAAUGAUAAAUUGGCUAUCUCUU
rnacentral:sRNA from 12 species